rnacentral:rRNA from 1 species
UGGAUUAGGCAUGCAAGUCGAACGAAAGCCAGCCUGUAGCAAUAUAGGCUGGUGAAAGUGGCGGAAGGGUGAGGAACGCGUGGACAACCUGCCUUUGAGUUGGGGAUAACCCCGCGAAAGCGGGACUAAUACCGGAUAUGAUGGUUUGUCGCAUGGCAGAUUAAUCAAAGACGGGGAACCGCAAGGUCCUGUCGCUUAAAGAGGGGUCCGCGUCCUAUCAGCUUGUUGGCGGGGUAAUGGCCCACCAAGGCUUACGGGUAGCUGGUCUGAGAGGAUGGUCAGCCACACUGGGACUGAGACACUGCCCAGACUCCUACGGGAGGCUGCAGUCGAGGAUCAUUCGCAAUGGGCGCAAGCCUGACGGUGCGACGCUGCGUGGAGGAUGAAGGCCCUCGGGUUGUAAACUCCUGUCGUGUGGGAACAAUAGUCUGACCGUUAACACCGGUUGGAAAUGAUAGUACCGCAAAAGGAAGCCACGGCUAACUCUGUGCCAGCAGCCGCGGUAAU